rnacentral:rRNA from 1 species
UGCGGGGGGGGUAAGCGUUGUUCGGAAUUACUGGGCGUAAAGGGCUCGUAGGCGGCCAACUAAGUCGGACGUGAAAUCCCUCAGCUUAACUGGGGAACUGCGUCCGAUACUGGAUGGCUUGGAUUUGGGAGAGGGAUGCGGAAUUCCAGGUGUAGCGGUGAAAUGCGUAGAUAUCUGGAGGAACACCGGUGGCGAAGGCGGCAUCCUGGACCAAUAUUGACGCUGAGGAGCGAAAGCCAGGGGAGCAAACGGG